AAGUUAGAAUAUUAUUUAAUAUUGACAAUGUUAUAUUGUUUAAUGUAUUCAUAUUUCACACCUAACUAAUUUGAAUAAUGACUUAAUAAGGAGUUAGGUGGUGGGUUCGAAAGUUUAAAUGUUAAAUAUCAUGACUUGUGUAAUGCAUUUGAAUUAAGAAGACGUCGUACAUACAUGAGCAGAUGUGCAUUUGCCUGCGUCUUACUAACGCAUAAUACACCAAAAUGUACUUGCAGCAGUUCCAAUUUUGUUACCUUAAAUAUUUGAGUGACUUGACCUAUUAUCAAAUUUAAAAGUAAAUUCACUCAAAUAGUCGUGCUAACGAUACGAAGUUGGAACUACCAGACAUACAUGUUGGUGUAUCAUGUGUUAGUAAGAUGAAGGCAAUAUAUGUGGGUACUGCGAUCUCUAAAGGAUUUAUGUUUUAUGACUAUCUUACAUGUUCCAACAGUCAAAACUCAUAAAUAAUAAUUUUAAAUGGUUCAAUAUUAAUUAGUUCCAUACAGAUACAUGGCAUAUUGCAUUCUUGCUAAAUAACACAAAUAUUAAACAUGUAAUCAAAAUCAACCACUUUUAACCCUUGGAUAGUCAUGUAUGAUGUAGUAAAUUAUGCACUUAACUGUUUAAUUGUUUAGUGAGUGUUAUUUUUUGUUAAGUAUUGUAAUUUGUAGUUGGGUCUUCUUUAUAUUCUGUACUUGGAGUAUUUUUAUAUUUAUAUUUUCAUUAUUUCAACAAUAGUCAUCAAAAUGGUAAAAUAAAAAAUAUGUAUGUACUAUAUUAUUAUAAUUUAAAAUUUUUAAACUUUACUAGUUAAUAACAGUUUGUAAUAUAAGUAUCUGUAACAAAACAAAAACCAGAUAGAUGUAAAAAUAUACUUAUAAUUUCCAGGUACAGUUUACUAAUUAAUCUUUUACACAAACAACAAA